CCCCCCCUUCUAUCUCUCUCACUACUUCUCCUCCUACUCUUGUGUGCUCCAACCAACUCCUCGAAUUCCUAAUGCAAUCCCCAAUCCCAUCCCAGCUUCCCUCUCCCGAUCCCCCUCGCAUCCAUUGAAUCUGACCGUUUACCUUCUGCGAUCCUUUUCUUGAUUUUUUUCUUCUUUUUUGGGUGAAUUUUGUGGAAGAUUUCUUUGCUUUUGAGUCGGAGGAGGAGGUGACGCUCGAGACGGAAGAGGCGAGAGAGGAAUCCAUGAAGAUGGGGAAGCAGGAAGAGAGGGAGAUGGAGAUGCUGUUGGAUGAAAUCCCUCAUGCCACGUCUCCCCAUCUCCCUCAUCCCCAUCUCGGUCAUCAUCGCCUCUUCCAUGGUGAUGAUGCUCUUGGCGUGCAUGUGCCUGGUCUCGAUGAGCUAUCGCCAGUUCGUGGGUUUUAUCCUGUCCAUGGCUGUGGGCAUGGGAGGGGGCCUGACCAUGGUGACCGCCAUGCACGCCUCUCGCCGCCGCCCCUCCCCUCGGAAGGAUCGUUGGUGUUGGGCUUUCUCUCCCCUGCCGCCGAUGAACUGGCUCGCCAGCAUACGGGGCGGAUGGUCGAACGAUUAGGCUUGCUCGACAAACUUAGCGGUAUGCAUCUCGGAGUUGAUCCGAAAUUACCAAUUGGUCGUCCGCUGAUGCCGGCAUCAGCAUCCGAGAACAACCCGAUCAACCCUUCUGUGCCUGAGACUAAUUAUACCGACGAUACAUUUCAGAUUGGCGUUAAUUGUCACUCAGUUAUUCCCAACUCUCUGUUAUUUGGUCUGGAUAAGAAUCCAUGCUCGUCUCAAUCGCAGCAGCAGCAUUGCUAUGCGGAUGCUAAUUUUUUCGAGCCAUGGCUCGACAAUUUCCCUUAUGGAGCAACUGAAUUGGGAACUGAUGGUGUCCUUGGACGAACUCCUCACUGCAGGGCUAAUCUUGGCGGGGGUUUUGUUUCCCGUAUUAAUCAACCUUAUCCAGUUUCUAAUAUGUUCUUGCAGUCGGAGAAGAUUAGAAUAGAUUCCAGUUGGAAUAGGAACACUUUAAAUGCCUCGAGGUUACCUGACUUUUCAGUGUCAAAUGGAUGCAUCGAAACACCCUCUGCUACUCUUGAGGUUCAGCCAGGAAGAAUCCUGAGAAACCCUGAGGUGUUUGGAUCCGAUGACAGUUUAAUUAUAGAGGGUAAGGAGCUCCAUUGCAUGAGGUGCCCAUUGAAUUAUCCCCUGAAGGGGACUAAACUAUCGCAGUUUGAUGGACUCCUGUAUGCACGAGGAGUCUCGGUGAAGCUACCGAAUUUUCUGCCAAAGUAUGACAAUGUGAUGGAUGUCAAAGGAUGUAUGUACUUUGUUGCAAAGCACCAGCAUGGGUGUCGGUUUUUGCAGCAGAAGCUUGAUGAAGGGAAGCAUGUGGUAGAUGUGAUUUUUAAUGGGGUCAUCAAUCAUGCCAGUGAGCUCAUGAUCGAUCCUUUUGGGAACUAUCUCAUGCAGAAGCUACUUGAAUUAUGCAGUGAAGAACAACUGAUGCAGAUCCUCCUAGUGUUGAAGGAUCCAGAUAACCUCAUCAGAAUCUCCCUGAACGUUCAUGGGACGAGGGCUGUGCAGAAGUUAAUAGAUACCCUCAAAACUAAGAAGCAAAUUGCACUGGUUAUAUCAGCCAUACAACCUGGGUUUUUAGAUCUCAUCAAGGACUUGAAUGGCAGCCAUGUGCUCCAACGCUGCUUGGAAUCUUUUACACCUGAAGACAAUAAGUUAAUUUUUGAUGCUGCGGCAAAGCAUUGUGUUGAUAUUGCUACUCAUCGACAUGGAUGUUGUGUGUUGCAAAAAUGCAUAGCCCAUUCUACUGGAGAAAAUCACGCAAAGUUGAUUGCAGAAAUUUCUGCUAAUGGUUAUGAACUUGCUCAAGAUCCGUUUGGAAAUUAUGUUGUCCAGUAUAUACUAGAUCUGAAGAACUCCUUGGCAAUUGGAAACUUGGCAUCUCAGUUUGAAGGGAAGUAUGUACAGCUCUCCGUACAGAAAUUUAGCAGUAACGUGGUGGAAAAAUGCUUGAAGAUUUUGGGUGAAGAUGAUCGAGCUACUAUAAUAUUGGAAUUGAUUUCAGUCUCACACUUUGAGCAAUUAUUGCAAGACCCUUACGCAAACUAUGUUAUCAAAUCUGCUCUUCUAAAUUCCAAGGGCCCUGUCCGUGCUGCACUAGUAAAAGCUAUGCUUCCUCAUGAAGCAGCCCUGAGAACCAACCCUUACUGCAAGCGAAUCUUUUCACGGGCUCUAUUGAAGAAGUGAUGUAAAUUCUGAAGUUGGCGGAUCUUUGUUGUUGUCCAUCAAUAGAACCCACCUGUCAUGGAGUUUCAAUUGCUAAAUCACCCUUACAGCUUGGUUAUUAUAUAGUGUAAAGGAAACGAUGUAUGUUGUUGUUAUUUUCAUUUCACAGUGCAGGACUAAACGGCUGCGCCACCCUAAUAUAGUGAGUUUUGGAUUGUUCGUGUCUUGUCGGAUCGAUUUCUCAGAUGCUGUUUCGCUCUUAUCACGAAAGCUAGUUGCCUUGGCAUAACAAUAUCCCAAGCAAAACACAUCAAAUCAAUACAGAACACGCGUUUUCUAUACGUGCAAUCGAUCAUUAUGUUUGAUGGACC